GACGAACGCUGGCGGCGUGCUUAACACAUGCAAGUCGAGCGGAAAGGCCCUGCUUUUGUGGGGUGCUCGAGUGGCGAACGGGUGAGUAACACGUGAGUAACCUGCCCUUGACUUUGGGAUAACUUCAGGAAACUGGGGCUAAUACCGGAUAGGAGCUCCUGCUGCAUGGUGGGGGUUGGAAAGUUUCGGCGGUUGGGGAUGGACUCGCGGCUUAUCAGCUUGUUGGUGGGGUAGUGGCUUACUAAGGCUUUGACGGGUAGCCGGCCUGAGAGGGUGACCGGCCACAUUGGGCCUGAGAUACGGCCCAGACUCCUACGGGAGGCAGCAGUGGGGAAUAUUGCACAAUGGGCGGAAGCCUGAUGCAGCAACGCCGCGUGCGGGAUGACGGCCUUCGGGUUGUAAACCGCUUUCGCCUGUGACGAAGCGUGAGUGACGGUAAUGGGUAAAGAAGCACCGGCUAACUACGUG
rnacentral:rRNA from 1 species